GUGACCUUCAUGCUGACGAAUGCUUUCAGUGGUCGAAGUCGGAUCAGCGGUGGGCCACAGUUUUCUUCUCGAUCCUCCAACCCUUUAAUAGGCAUCUACCAGGAACUGGCUCAGGCUUCUGGAGGUCAGGCUAUAGAGGUCACCAAAGCAACACUACCCCAGGCCACCAGCAUCAUAGUGGACACCUCCAGCUCUUCUCUGGUCACUGUUCUCCAGGCUGUGAGAAAUCCGGCAAAAGCAGAAAACUUCACAUUUUUUGUGGACUCCUCCUUGCAAAACCUGACCAUUUACAUCACCUGCAACUCACCAAAUUACAUCAUCACUAGUCCUACAGGAGUCUCACAGCGCAGUAGUGAACUCAGUGGAGCUUUGGGGACUAUUAACAAAGUCGGUAACUUCCACGCAGUACAUCCUAAUAUCUCAGACCAGACAGGAGAGUGGCUCAUCAGCAUUGACUCAACACAGCCCUACACUGUCAAAGUUGUUGGUAAAAUUAACAUAUUCUAUUCUCUUCUCUAUAUAUCCAAUUUUAUGUACAUUUAUAUUGAUUUAUAUUAAUCUUAUAUUAUUUUUUGCUUGUAAAUGUACACAAAUUAUGUAAUGGAUAUCAAAAAUCCCUGCUGUUACUAUUAUUAAUACUUUUUUUAUUAUUCUCUGUGCAGGUAAAAGUGGGAUAGACUUCCUGUUUGAAUUUAUAGAGAUUGUUGACGGGCCUCAUCCAAGCUACGCUGUGCUGAAAAGCAGGCCAAAAGCUAGUAAGUACAUUUUCAAUGCUUGUCAGUAGAGUGUGAUUUAAAUAUUAAUAUUAAAUAAGAGUUUUUAUUGUUUUUCUCGUCCUCCAUUCAGACAGCAAUGUCACGCUAAUGGUCACGAUGGUUGGUGGUGAGGGUGUCAGGCCUACAGAGAUAGCCCUGGUUGAAACAGCAACUUCGAAAUCCUAUAAUGUGACUGUGGAGAAUUUUGAAAGUGACCAAUUCAUUGCCACCUUCCCAAGUGUCCCCGCUGGAGAGUUUCAGGUCCGUGUGGUUGGAGAGAUCAGCUCCACCAGAGCUUCAACUGGACCUUUUCAGAGACAGACCUCCACUCAGCUCCGAGCAUCAAGUGUGACCGUCACUGUUCAAAGUGACGCUGGAACACUGGAACCAGGAAGAUCAUUAACUCUACCCUUCACAGUGUCGACCAGCGGAUCUGGAGGAGUUUUUAAUAUCAGCGUCAGUAAUGACAGAAGUUUCCAAAUGACUGAUGUUCCAUCAACCCUGACUCUGGAGACUGGGGGCAGUGUGAAUGGUACAGUAACUCUGACUGCACCUGGAAACACCCCCUCAGGAACUGACGUCACGCUGACUAUCGAAGCUGAAGCACCAGGAGAAACAGAUUUCAACUACGCAGUGCUGAGGAUUUCUGUAGUCACUCCGGUAACAGACAUUACUCCUCCAGUGUGUGAGAUAGUUAGCGUUAAUGCUAACUGCUCAGGGAACUGCAGCCUCUCGUGGUGGGAUUUCUCCGCUAACAUCACUGACAGAAACGGUUCAGGUAUUCAGCGCGUGGAGGUGAGCCAAGGUCUCGG
rnacentral:lncRNA from 1 species